rnacentral:rRNA from 1 species
CCCUUAGAUGUCCUGGGCCGCACGCGCGCUACACUGAACGGAUCAGCGCGUUUUCCCUUCCCGAGAGGGACGGGUAACCUGCUGAACCCCGUUCGUGGUAGGGAUCGGGGCUUGCAAUUAUUCCCCGUGAACCAGGAAUGCCCAGUAAGUGCAAGUCAUAAGCUUGCGUUGAUUACGUCCCUGCCCUUUGUACACACCGCCCGUCGCUACUACCGAUUGAACGUUUUAGUGAGGUACUCGGACUGAGCCUCAGAAGAUUCACGUCUUUUGUGCUGCUCGGGAAGAUUUCCAAACUUGAGCGUUUAGAGGAAGUAAAAGUCGUAACA